CGCCCCGAGCAUGUUGUGAUCACCAAAGAGGUGCGGCUCAAACAGCGCCAGCGUUCAAUUCGUAGUUGGAUGAAGACACAGUCCAUGUUUUUUAAGUAGUUAACAUCCCCAAAUGGGCACGCAUAUGGAACGUUCUCAAAUCUUCCAUCGCAAUCUGAUAGUCGGAAGGUUACUUUUGUUUUGUCAUGUUUUUUUAUUUGAUUUUCAUUGAUUCACGAUCUUCUUUCUUUUCCAUUUUGUCUUCAUUUGAUUAAUAAUAUAUUCUUACUCUUGUGCAACGAGAAAUACAGAAGAAAACUUCUUAAAAUAUCUAUGUUUUUUUUCUUGUUUUCAAUUCAACAGAGACGGGAUUAAAAUUCAUUGUGAGUUCUUGUUGUUCAUGUUCUGGAUUGGUUUCCUUCAUUUCCAUGUAUGUACUAUUCCGCUUUAAUUGAUUCCAGUUUGUUUGUUGCUGCGCUAGUGCUUCGAUGGCACUCUGCUUUUUUCGACGGCAAAACGUGAUUGCGGAUAAUAGGUUCGUUCUGAUCGAGACUGUUCGCAAUGAAGAGUAACAGUCAAUUAAUAACAUUGUAUUUCAUCAAAAUGAGUACACAGUGCUGUUAUGCGGUCAGAAGGUUUCUACCGUGUAUAAGCAUUGUCUACCCUAAUCGAUGCAAUAUAAUGCUGGAUCAGUUCUCGCAAGAUAUAUUAUGAUAUUUUUCAGCAUAUUUGUGCUACUUAAAAAACGAAAACAAUGAUAUUUACGGCGCAUCAGCUUGCUUUUAGGGAUCUACUUGAGUCCGUUUGUCGUCGAUUUGGCUAGGUUCACAUGGAAAUAAAAUGGUGAACCUGCAUCGAUCGAUUCCGGGUAACGAAAUGGGAAAUUCGAAUUCGGGAGGUGGAACAAUGAUUUUUUUAUUUUGUUUAAAAACACGCUAACGUCAUAUAAUUUAGCGUUGGUGCAUAUUUGCCUCUUUUUUUGUUUUGUAUUAUUGGCUUAGUGUCCUUUAUCACAUUCUACCUAUGUUUAAUUGUUUCAAAAUCAUUUCAUUAUUGAUUAGUUUGCUUUCUGCUCGCUGAUGUCAUUUCUAAAGUUUUUUUUUCUAAGCUUGAUCACUGGAGAGAGAGAGAUAGGAUCUCCUCAAGCGGUCAACUGUUUACGCAGAUUCAGCAGAAUCAUGCACUAUUUCUGUUGUUCACUAUUAUGUGUUUGGGUUUCCUUAUGAUUUCGUUACUUUCAUGUUUUUCCUAGAAUUUGCGUUUUGAUUUCCGCUUCCCUGCACAAUGUCAAUGUUUUUAAACGAUAUUUUCCACUUAGUACAAAGUUUUCUUUUCUUCUAUUUUUCUGCGCCCAGUCGCAAGAAGUCGUCUUUUCUCGUCGAAUUAGUUAAAAUCAACCUAGUAUGCGGCUUAUACAUUUGUAUGUGUGUAUGUGUUUCAUUGUUUUGUGUUUUCUUUUUAAUUGUUCCACAUAUUUUCUUGCUUCACAUUCCAGCGAUCUCUCUAGUAGAAAUUGGAAAUGGUUUACGAAAAUAUCACUACCACAAUGAGAUGAGAGCUAAUGGAGCGCGUUUAAGUGUUUUUUCUUCUUCAGUUUGUUGGUUGUU